GCCUCUGAUGAUGAUUCAAAUAUACUUUCGUUCUUCCGAGUUUAUCCAUGCGGAAAUUUUGUGGAGACCUGAACUGAAGAGGC